rnacentral:lncRNA from 1 species
CUUCGGCCGGGCCCCACCGCGCAGGCUAAAUAGCGAGGCGCAGCUGAGAAGUGAAUCCGAGCAAUGCGCUAAAGAAACCUCGGGAGCUGCCGGCGCAGGGCAGCAGCUAACAGGUGGAGCCUCCGCGGGGGUAGGGGGGCCGCUCCAACAGUUGCGGCGAGGGGGAAGCAUCUCGCAACAAAAGCUCCAGCGCUGAAAAUCGAAGGAAGGAUGUUUGGGCACCCGCAGCUGCCGGGAGAUGAGGUUACAAGGCAAAGCUAAACAAAGAUCCCUGUGAGAAGGAAAUCGAUCCCUCCCGCCUUGCUGUAAGGUAGAAGCCGAGCAGUAGCCGCUUGACAUCAUCAGGACGAGCAUUGGAUUACAGCAGGCAGGGACUCACUUGGCGAGAGCCGAGAACACGCCCCUCGGCCCCAGAAGCGCAACUUCAUUUAGCAGCUCCGAGUACAAGGAAACGGCAAGUCUGAAACGGGCUGUGACUAACCUGGCCGCCUUGGCUGCUCGCCCGACCCGGCGGAUACGCUCGGAGGGUUGCUCCGAGCCCCGGGUCCUUUGCUAGCGGCGUGACUCGCUACCUUGGGAUUCAAGCAGCCGCCGGAGCCCCGGUCCGUCUAAGCUGCUGCCCUGCUGUGUAUGAAGCUUAUCUGAAGUCAUGUCCAGAAGGAAAGUCAACUAAAUCAGGUAGGGAUUCACAMUGCAGACCAACAUGGUUUUUAUUCACAGGGAAGUAUUAUAUAAGCAGGAAAGGGUUUUUUUCCUUUCCGUUUUGCAAAAAGUCAUUUGACCUGCCCCUGUAUUCUGAACUACUAGUUGCUAGAAAGACACCCAGAGCUAAGAGGAAAUGAACAUCCGCAAUUCUGCUGUAAUGACUUUCCUGCUGUAUUUUCUAUACUUCAUGGCAACGUACUUAUACAAAGUCGUGUUGCAACGCUGACGCUAAGGGCAGCCACUAACGCAAACCAUGCUGCGUGGCUCUCCCUCGUCAGCAAACUGCGCUACCGCACACCGAGUGCGCUCUGUGAGCAGCGGGAAGGAAACGCGUCCUGCGCAAAGCCUGCUUUCUUACGGGCUGCCCCGAUGCUUGCAUGGGAAUGAY